CCCGCCGGACCUGACUGCUAUCGGAUUGAUACUAAGCCAUGCGAGUCAUUGUAGUAAUACAAGGCAUACGGCUCAGUAACGCGUAGUCAACCUAACCUAUGGACGGGAAUAACCUCGGGAAACUGAGUAUAACGCCCGGUAGAAUAUUAUGCCUGGAAUGGUUUAUGUUCCAAAUGAUUUAUCGCCGUAGGAUGGGACUGCGGCCUAUCAGUUUGUUGGUGAGGUAAUGGCCCACCAAGACUAUUACAGGUACGGGCUCUGAGAGGAGUAGCCCGGAGAUGGGUACUGAGACACGGACCCAGGCCCUAUGGGGCGCAGCAGGCGAGAAAACUUUGCAAUGUGCGAAAGCACGACAAGGUUAAUCCGAGUGGUUUCUGCUAAAGGAACCUUUUGUUAGUCCUAGAAACACUAACGAAUAAGGGGUGGGCAAGUUCUGGUGUCAGCCGCCGCGGUAAAACCAGCACCUCAAGUGGUCAGGAUGAUUAUUGGGCCUAAAGCAUCCGUAGCCGGCUCUGUAAGUUUUCGGUUAAAUCUGUACGCUCAACGUACAGGCUGCCGGGAAUACUGCAGAGCUAGGGAGUGGGAGAGGUAGACGGUACUCGGGAGGAAGGGGUAAAAUCCUUUGAUCUCUCGAUGACCACCUGUGGCGAAGGCGGUCUACCAGAACACGUCCGACGGUGAGGGAUGAAAGCUGGGGGAGCAAACCGGAUUAGAUACCCGGGUAGUCCCAGCUGUAAACUAUGCAAACUCAGUGAUGCAUUGACUUGUGGUCAAUGCAGUGCUGCAGGGAAGCCGUUAAGUUUGCCGCCUGGGAAGUACGUACGCAAGUAUGAAACUUAAAGGAAUUGGCGGGGGAGCACCACAAGGGGUGAAGCCUGCGGUUCAAUUGGAUUCAACGCCGGG
rnacentral:rRNA from 1 species